CUACGGGACGCAGCAGUGGGGAAUAUUGGACAAUGGGGGAAACCCUGAUCCAGCAAUGCCGCGUGUGUGAAGAAGGCCUGCGGGUUGUAAGGCACUUUCGGUUGGGAGGACUGCUUCUAGCACUAAUAUUGUUGGAAGUUGACGUUACCUUCAGAAGAAGCACCGGCUAACUCCGUGCCAGCAGCCGCGGUAAUACGGAGGGUGCAAGCGCUAAUCGGAAUUACUGGGCGUAAAGCGCGCGUAGGCGGCUAGAUCAGUCGGGUGUGAAAGCCCCGGGCUUAACCUGGGAACUGCAUCCGAUACUGUCUAGCUUGAGUACAGGAGAGGAGAGUGGAAUUCCACAUGUAGCGGUGAAAUGCGUAGAUAUGUGGAGGAACACCAAUGGCGAAGGCAGCUCUCUGGCCUGAUACUGACGCUGAGGUGCGAAAGCGUGGGGAGCAAACAGGAUUAGAUACCCUUGUAGUC
rnacentral:rRNA from 1 species